AACGAACGCUGGCGGCAGGCUUAACACAUGCAAGUCGAACGCACCGCAAGGUGAGUGGCAGACGGGUGAGUAACGCGUGGGAAUCUACCCAGUUCUACGGAACAACACAGGGAAACUUGUGCUAAUACCGUAUACGCCCCAAGGGGGAAAGAUUUAUCGGAAUUGGAUGAGCCCGCGUUGGAUUAGCUAGUUGGUGGGGUAAUGGCCUACCAAGGCGACGAUCCAUGGCUGGUCUGAGAGGAUGAUCAGCCACACUGGGACUGAGACACGGCCCAGACUCCUACGGGAGGCAGCAGUGGGGAAUAUUGGAAGAUGGGCGCAAGCCUGAUCCAGCCAUGCCGCGUGAGUGAUGAAGGCCUUAGGGUUGUAAAGCUCUUUCAGUAGGGACGAUAAUGACGGUACCUACAGAAGAAGCCCCGGCUAACUUCGUGCCAGCAGCCGCGGUAAUAC
rnacentral:rRNA from 1 species